UAUCCUAGUCUAUCAGCCUUUGGGAUGUAGUGAUCUCAGGCUGAAGCAUUUGGACCUGAGGCUACAAAAGGCCUUAGUAGGUUCCUAAGUGAGACAGCCUUAGAGGGAGGAGUCAGUUGGCUAGAGGCUGGGGCCAAAGAGCUAGAAGACUCUCUUAAAGGCCUACGGCUUUUGCAAGCUUCGAAAUUGCCCAGUCCUAGCCAGGGCACAGUGACGGGCUGCUGAGAGGCACUGAAACAGUUCUUACCCCACAGCUCUGGCAAUGGAGCAAUUUCCCUCAACCCCGAGGAAGUCCCCACCACCCCGGAACUACCCUGUUACCAAAGCCACGUAACCCCUAGUUACUGAAGUCCAAAGAGCUCUGACUGGGGUGGCACAGGCUCUGAGCAUGAGGACUCUGGCCACACUUCCUCCUAUAGUGGUCAGAGACCCAGCCAGGAUCACUUCCCAUCGUGGUUCAGUUCCUGGCACUGCAAGAGGGGAAACCCCCUGGGAGUCGUCAGCUGAUUCCCAAAGAUUUAUAGGGAUGGUGUAAGGAUGGAACUUCCCUACCAGCUGGAUCCCCUGGAGACAGAACUGCCCCAUGUAUGAGUGAUGAAGUCAAUGAAAUUAUCUUUACCCCUACAUUAAGCUCCUCCUACUUCGGGACCCUGCAACUUCCUACUCCCUCCUGGCAUCCAACUGGAGACGCCUAGCAGUUCCUCACAACUCUGUGUUGGGGAGGAGUCCUGGGGCCAGUCAUUUGGUCACCAAACAUUUAGAGAGCACUCACACUGUGCCAGGCACUGUGCCAGGCACUGUGCCAAACAGCUCUUUCUGGAGAAGAUGGAAAAUGCUUUGCAGAGAAAGUGACUUAUGAGCAAGACUUUGAAGGAAGAGCAAGAUUUGGGGCAGGUAUACUAUACAAAGCUCCAGGCCCAGAAAAGCAGCAAAACCAGACAAGGGUGCAGUGGCUGCUGCAGGUCACUGACUAAUGACCCUCCGCCUUGGCAUCAACCAAUCAGUGGAGACUAUGACUCUGAAAGCGCAGCCCUGGAAAGCUGAAGAAUAUUCUAUUAAGACCCGCCCCUGAGCUCUCUCCUAAGAUUUCUAUCUGCGGGAAAGAGAUAAACACACUCAGGUCAAAAGAAGAUGCCUGUGCCAUUCCCCCAAAGUCCCGUAGCCCCCAACCUCUAAGGGACCCCAUGAGACUUGCAAACAGGGGAGCAAUGGGCAGCGGCAGGCAGCUCAUUCCAGGCUAACCCCCUGAACCUGUCUCCAAGGCCCCCUUUUCUCUGUGUAGCCCUUCCCUUUGGCUAUCCCCAUCUCCCAUCCCCUUUUCCUCAAAUAAAGUCAAUUUUCUUUAA